AACGAACGCUGGCGGCAUGCCUAACACAUGCAAGUCGAACGAGACCUUCGGGUCUAGUGGCGCACGGGUGCGUAACGCGUGGGAACCUGCCCUUAGGUUCGGAAUAACUCCCCGAAAGGGGUGCUAAUACCGGAUAAUGUCUUCGGACCAAAGAUUUAUCGCCUUUGGAUGGGCCCGCGUUGGAUUAGCUAGUUGGUAGGGUAAAAGCCUACCAAGGCGACGAUCCAUAGCUGGUCUGAGAGGAUGAUCAGCCACACUGGGAUUGAGACACGGCCCAGACUCCCAGGGGAGGCAGCGAGGGGGGAAAUUGGGCAGGGGGCAGAAGCCUGCCCCACCGAGGCCGGGAUGGUGGUGAAGGCCUUGGGGUUGGAAAGCUCUUUUACCGGGGAGUAAAAGAAGGGAACCGGGAAAAAAGCCCCGGGUAAACCCCGG
rnacentral:rRNA from 1 species